rnacentral:rRNA from 1 species
GACGAACGCUGGCGGCAUGCCUAAUACAUGCAAGUCGAGCGGAGAUGUGGGAGCUUGCUCCAACAUCUUAGCGGCGGACGGGUGAGUAACACGUGGGCAACCUGCCCUGCAGAUCGGGAUAACUCCGGGAAACCGGUGCUAAUACCGAAUAGUUUGGAACCUCUCCUGAGGUUCCACGGAAAGACGGUUUCGGCUGUCACUGCAGGAUGGGCCCGCGGCGCAUUAGCUAGUUGGUGGGGUAAUGGCCCACCAAGGCGACGAUGCGUAGCCGACCUGAGAGGGUGAUCGGCCACACUGGGACUGAGACACGGCCCAGACUCCUACGGGAGGCAGCAGUAGGGAAUCUUCCGCAAUGGACGCAAGUCUGACGGAGCAAUGCCGCGUGAGUGACGAAGGUUUUCGGAUCGUAAAACUCUGUUGUAAGGGAAGAACACGUACCAAUUAACUACUGGUACCUUGACGGUA